AACUGUUUGGCUGAUAGGAAAGCAAGUGCUUUGAAAGCACCUAAUAGAAGUUCGAAUCCUCUAACAGUUU
rnacentral:tRNA from 1 species